AACGAACGCUGGCGGCAGGCUUAACACAUGCAAGUCGAGCGCCUCGCAAGGGGAGCGGCAGACGGGUGAGUAACGCGUGGGAACAUGCCCAAAGGUGCGGAACAACUCCGGGAAACUGGAGCUAAUACCGUAUGUGACCGAGAGGUGAAAGAUUUAUCGCCUUUGGAUUGGCCCGCGUUGGAUUAGCUAGUUGGUGGGGUAAAGGCCUACCAAGGCGACGAUCCAUAGCUGGUCUGAGAGGAUGAUCAGCCACACUGGGACUGAGACACGGCCCAGACUCCUACGGGAGGCAGCAGUGGGGAAUAUUGGACAAUGGGCGCAAGCCUGAUCCAGCCAUGCCGCGUGUGUGAUGAAUGCCUUAGGGUUGUAAAGCACUUUCGCCAGGGACGAUAAUGACGGUACCUGGAUAAGAAGCCCCGGCUAACUUCGUGCCAGCAGCCGCCGUAAGAC
rnacentral:rRNA from 1 species